GACGAACGCUGGCGGCGUGCCUAAUACAUGCAAGUAGGACGCAGUUGCGAACGGGUGAGUAACGCGUAGGUAACUACCUAGUAGAGGGGGCUAACUAUUGGAAACGAUAGCUAAUACCGCAUACUAGUAGAUGGACCUGGGUUGUAUUAGCUAGUCGGUAGGGUAAUGGCCUACCUAGGCCACGCUACAUAGCAGACCUGGGAGGGUGAUCGGCCAACAUGGGACUGGGACAACGCCCAGACUCCCACGGGAGGCAGCAGGAGGGAAACUUCGGCAAUGGGGGGAACCCCGACCGAGCCACGCCGCGUGAGGGAAGAAGGUGUUCGGAUCGUAAAGCUCUGUUGUUAAGGAAGCGGUACUUACCCAGAAAGGGACGGCUAACUACGUGCCAGCAGCCGCGGUAAUUC
rnacentral:rRNA from 1 species